GACAGAGGUGGCGAGCGUUAUCCGGAUUGACUGGGCGUAAAGGGCGUGUAGGCGGUUCUAUAAGGCGGGCGUGAAAGGCGUCGGCUCAACCGAAGCAGUGCGACCGAGACUGUAGGGCUUGGAGCGCGGAAGAGGAAAGGGGAAUUCCCGGUGUAGCAGUGAAAUGCGUAGAUAUCGGGAAGAACACCAAUGGCGAAGGCGCCUUUCUGGUCCGUUGCUGACGCUGAGGCGCGAAAGCCAGGGGAGCGAACGGG
rnacentral:rRNA from 1 species